rnacentral:lncRNA from 1 species
CAAGUUUGAACAUAAUUCUGCUCGGAGCUUCUGGGUGUGUUCUGACUUGGAGUUUAGCAAAAUACCUACUAAAAUUAGUCCAGAACGUCGCUUUUAUGGAACUUUUUCGAAAUAGAAUGGUUAUGCUAUGCCGAGCAACAGGUUAGUGUUUGAUUUAGUGGUCUUUUAAAUGUUUGUGAGUUGUUUUUGUCGAGUUAUAGCGGAGUUUUAAAACACGUGUUAUAAAUUCAUUGUAUUUUAAUAGUUUGCUAAUUCCCGUUCGCUGUCGUUUAGUCGUUUCAUUUCCUUAGUAUUUCUCCCAUAUUUUGUAGUAUUCCUCCCAUAUUUUCUCCCUUAAUUCAUAUUUAUUUUAUCUGCUGUUUCAGGGCAGAAAUUCGACGAGAAAGUUCUCGAUGUUUAACUGAUUUGAGUCGCCGACCUAUCGAAGACUGGAAGCACGCGGUAAGCAUAUAUCACAUGCAUUUACAUACUUUUAUUUCUUGUUUGUGCUCGCUUUUUAAUCGAAUUUUUUGGACGAAAUUCAGAGAUGAAAUGGCCUCGUGUCCUGAUUGAAUGCAUGAACGCACUCGUUCAAAUCGGCUGGGAAUAUAUCGUAUUAACAGUGACAGAUGCGUUAGUGCGCUGUACUUAAACUUUUAUAUACUUGCAUGGAAACUCGAGUUGUGUUAGUAGACUUUGGUUGGCUCAUCUCUUCUGUGUUGACGAGGGUUUUUCAUCGGGUAGUCCAGUUUUCCUCCUUCGCUAAAAACUAAACCUUAGGGCCUUAAGCCGCGAGCAGGUUUUCUAUGACAAGUUUUUAUGUGACAAGUUUCAUUUGCUCGUCUGUACGCGCAACUUUGACAAUUUUUUCUAUGACAAGUGCACUUGUUCUAGCUUUUGACAAGUGUACCUGUGUACUUGUCAUAGAAAAAAUUGUCAAAGUACAAAUUUUGUUCGUCUGUAUGGCUCAACAAAGAAAACUUGUCAAAGUAAUCUGAGCAUUUGAUGUGAUUGGCCAGCUGGCUACUAAUAAAUUGUCAAAGUAAACUUGUUGACAGGUUCACACGCGUCCGAGGGGCAAUAUAUCAGUUAUAAACCUCCUCCUCGGUUUAUAACUAACUUAUAUCACAGUUGCGGAGGUUUUCCAACAUAUUUUGUCAUUUUCAAAAAUUUUUAAUGAAAAAUUCUCGCGUUUUAUCUACAAGUUUAAUCCAAUCAUUUAUUCAAGGAGGAUACCUAUUUACCGAGCCAAGGAUUCGAGCUCGGAAUCGAGGUCGGAUUCGAGCUCGGAUUCGAGCUCGGGAUUCGAGCUUGGAUUCUAUAGCAGGGCCGUAGGAAGCUCUUUUCGAUUGGGGGGGCUGAAAGCGAGGGCCGAAGGCCCGAGGAAAUUUUAAAUUUAGAGUCUCUAAAAUGCCAUUUCCUGGACUUUGGGGGAAGAUUUAACAGAAUUCUGAUAGUCAGAAAACAGCGUUUUAGUAUGUCGAAAUUUACAGGAAAGUAUGGGCCAGACUGUAGUAUUAUAAAUGCGCGGCGGGAAUUUUCGUCGUAAAUGGCAGUUGCGCGGAAAUGAAGGCAGAACAUUUGAGAAAAUUUCGAAAAUCUGGAGUCUCUAGAUCAGUGGCGUAACGUUAUAUCAGGGGGCCCCCGGUUCAAAAUUUUCGAAGCCCCCCCCCUAGUAGAAGUGCCAAAGGCACGAGUCGAGCGCCGUAUAUGCACGAGUUUUCUAGGGGGUCCAGGGCAUGCUCAUCCGGAAAAAAAUUUAAUCUAGACUCUCUGAAAUGCCAUUUCCUGGACUUUGGGGAGAGAUUUUAAAGAAUUCUGAUGGUCAUAAAACGACAUUGUAACAUAUCAGAAACCCUGGCCAAUGUUUUUGCUCUAUCGCCUAAGCCUGGGGGCCCCCAUUUGGGUUGGGGGCCCCCGGGUUCCCCCGGUCUGAGCCCAUAGUAGUUACGCCACUGCUCUAGAUGGUCUGAAAUGGCAUUUUCAGAGUUUUCUUUCGCAAGACCCAACACGCAAAAGACAAAAUAAAUCAUUAGUUCAUCAAAAAUGUGCAGAUUUUGUGGGAUUUUCUUGAAAAUGCGCGACAGAAAUUCAGCUAAAUUUCUACGCGAGGAACGAUCUGGAGUAUGAGUAAUAUCUUCAUUCUUUGCAGUUUGUCACAGAUUAAAUGAUAAAGUUUGCAUGAUUUUGAAAAAAGAAUGAUUAUUAGCAAAUUAUUGGGGGGGCUGCAGCCCCCCAGCCCCCCCCGGUUGCUACGGCCCUGUAUAGUAAGGUUAAGCUUGUUAAGAAAGAUUUUAUGCGGAAUUCUUUGUUUGGCGUUAGUAUAUGAAGAGCGAUAUGGCGAAGCACAAGUUGCUUACAAUCGCUAUCUAAGCAAUUAAAAAGAAUGGAAGCACUGUACAGAAAUGUUCGUUUGCCAGAGUCAGUACGCGGGAAGGGGGGUUGAAGGUCAUAUGCGCAAGCUCUAGUCAGAGCCCGUUGUCGAAUACAAGAUAAGAAUUUAAACAUUUGCUUAAAUGAUCACGGAGCACUGGGAUAAGGUCGAAGAUUGGGAUUAUUCGAAUCUGGGAAAAAAGAAGAACAGAAGGAGUAGAAAAGUCAGCGACUAGAAUAAUACGUGCUGCACGCUUUUGCUGUCGAAGAAUGCGAAGUAAAAGUGUUUUUGAGCAGUUUCCCCAAGUUACAGAGCAUGUCAAAAAAUUGCAUUUUAAAGCAAAUUGUAUGGAAUUUUUUUAAAUAAAAAACCUUUUCGGGAGAGCUAUACUCUGCCUUGAAUUACCCAGAGGGAGGGACUGUAGACUCGUAUUUUCCGAAAAGCUAACGAACAAUGCCGAGCCGCCAGCGAGAAUGUGAAAUGAGUAUACGGUUUAUUUGGUGUUCAUGUUAUAAUUACAUGAAGUACGAAUAAAAAAUCAAACAAUGUUUAUAAACUUUAUAUGGUUUCACAUGGUUUCACGACAAUUUCAACAGACUAUAAAUUGUAAAAUAUGCAUUUUAAUGGGGAUUUUACAAUGAAAUAUGUUACAAUUAACAAGGUAAGACGGCGUUUGUAUUGUUUUACUAGAGUAUUAAUACUUGCGCGUGACUUUUAAAUUAAUAAUACUUCUUUUCGAAUUUGGAUUGUUAAUAUAUUCAACAAGUUUUAUGAGAUUCGAUUGGGACUAUUCUACAAUGAAGUAUUAUUGGGUACUGUAAUGUCUAAAUACACAGCAAGACGAAUAAGUGGCAUUUAUUCGGGCAGAGAAGCGGCGAGCCAUUGCAAUUUAUAAUGGCGCCAUAUUUCAGUAUUUCACGAAAUAUCGAAGGGCACAGUAACGAAGAUAAUUACACUGCACUGUUUCAAAACCUGAUGAAACCUUCUUUGAAAUCUUCUUCAACCAUGUUAGGCCAUAUAAAAAAAAAUAGUUGGUUAGCGUCCUUAGCUUUUGCAAAAAGUGGGCGGGCGGGCGCUUUUUUUUAAAAUUUUUACUAAUUUUUAACGCCUUGGUUUUACUCACUGUUAGGUCCGAAACUGGAUUUUCUUGCGCAGUACAGAUAUUUUUUUAUAUAUUUCAAAAUAUAAUUCAUACCGUCAUUUUCGCACGCAAUUUCGAAAAUUAUUAACACAAUUGACCACAGUCAACAGAAAUACUACAUAUAUUAGAGCCCGUUGAUCAAUAAAAGUCGGGUUUUUUUAAAUAAAAAAUAAAAAAAAAUCCUGAGCGGGGCCUUUUUUGUGGGCGGGCGCGGACGCUAACCAACUAUUUUUUUUAUGUGGCCUUAUGUAAAAGUGCAACAACUGAAUGAUAUUUGCCAGAUUUCAGUUGGUGAUAAAAAGCAAACAAGAUGGCAAAAUCAUGUAUUAUAUUUAAAGAAAACAAUGACAAUCCUUAUGACAAUCCUCAUGAUAUUUGUUUUUAGGAAAUAGGAAUAUUUCACUUCUGCCAGGCACGUUAGUUAUUUAUGCAUAAUUAGCAAUUUACCGGCUGGGGGUGGUGCAUGGUCAUUUUCUUGUAAAAUAUUAUACUUAGACAAAUUUUUCCUUCCACUGACCACCCUAGCCUGAAAUGUCAGGUUCAAGCAGGGAGAACGCCUGACAUUUCAGGCUACUGACCAUCCCUAAAAGCAACCCUUCUGAACACUAUAACACUUCAGAAAGGCUAUCGCUUUUCCUUUUCGGAAGUUACAGCUAUGUCGACACUGCCGUUUCAGGGCGGGAUCAUUUUCAGGAAUUUUGUCCCGGAUUCAGGUUUUGGCACAUAUGCCAUGUUGACUGCCAUGGUCAUUUUCCCCUAAAACAGUUGAGAUUACCUGUGCUAAGUGAAACGCAUACAAAGUCAUAUACAGGUCCUAGACUAUAAUAAAACUUAGAUUCCGAGCUCGAAUUCCGAGCUCGAAUUCCGAGCUCGAUUCCGAGCUCGAAUUCCGAGCUCGAUUCCCGAGCUCGAUUCCGAGCUCGAUUCCGAGCUCGAUUCUGAGCUUGAUUUCGAGCUCGAAUCCGAGCUCGAAUCCUUGGCUCGGUAUAUAGUAUAUCUCAUAGACCUUUUAUUCAAGGUCUAUAAGCUAGGUAAUAAAAAUUUAUUGUCAUUUUCAAAGCAUGACUCGCUCAAAUAUUGAAGACUAAAGGCCAUGUUACACGGUGCAAUUUUUCUUGCAACUUGCAAUGCAAUUCUACUCUUGAGAGAUGUAAAAUUGCCAAGUACGAGUCUUCAUUACAUGCACUAUUGCACUCCGCCACAGAUGAGGUAAAUACUUACCUCAUCUGUGACUCCGCUGAUGUUUUCUGAACAUAUCGUAAAUUCUUCACUGAUUUCACUAAUUAACAUCUCUUAAGAGUAGAAUUGCAUUGCAAGUUGCAAGAAAAAUUGCACAGUGUAACAUGGCCUUAAAAGGCAAUGUUAACUGUCGUAUGCCAGUAAAAUUUUGAAAUCAUUUGGAGCACUAUGUUUGGAGUCACUAUUUUGAUCAUUUUCCUAUUUGUCAGGAGGCAAAUGGUGCCUCCAAAGAAAGUACAUGUGCAGACAACAUGAAACUUUAGACUGUACAAAAUUGCACAAGCACUUAUCAAACUCGUGCCACAUAAGUGGUAAAGAAUAUAGGUCAAUAUAUGUAUGACAAUUUGAACGGUAUCCUUUUGUAAUGUUUUUGGCCAGGAGUGGGUAUUUAUUUUUUGAUUGAUAUUCGAAGUUGGCUAAAAAAAUAUUCGACUUUUUAUUGGUUUAGCAAACGUUUUACCAAAAAAAAAUUCUUCUUCGCGUCACCCCCCCCCCUAAAUAAUGACUGGUCUCUUGACAUCAUUGAUGUUUUAUAACUAAAAAUUCAUAAUCCAAUUCUUUUAGACUGCCUCAAGACCGAUUAAUUUGAAGGCAAAUGGAAGGCCCAGAAGCGAAAGGACUUAAAGAGACGCAAAGCAGUCGGGAGCAAAAAGAAGGACAAAUGCAGACAACCACCCAGUCUGCGUUGUAGAACUUUAUAAUUAACCCGAUUCAUUUGCUAACCAUCACAUUCAUCGUCAGAAUUAGUUUGUACCACAUUUGGAAGAUUGCUACUAGCGCAUUGAGGUGUCAAGUUACAACAUGUUGAUGCUGUUCCAGAGACUAGUAAGCCAGUGUACACCACAGUCUUGACAGUGAUGGAAAACCAAACGGAAGAUAACCCGUCAUCAUCAUAUUCUGUCCAGUGUACCAAGUUGAGAUGCAAAGACCUGUCAAGCCACAAGCGACACUGUGCCAUCCUGAAACACUAAACAUGGGAAUGAAGGACGCCUUCUACUUAUCAUCUAGCAUAAAGUAGUUGCUCAGGAAAACACCAUAUUAUGCAAGGUAUAUAUUUUUUGUAAUUUGCAAUUGUAUUAAUGAAUUUAUGUACCGUAAAGUCUGAACACAGUGAAGUAAAUAUUGGCCACAGAUCGUUGUGGUUCAUAAGAGAAAACGAAUCAGGGGCCACUCCAGCCCAGGGUACCAACUUUUUCAUGUGAAAUAUGGAAGCCCCAGGUCUAGGGUGGGGCUAUAUGACAAUAGGUGGUAUUCAAGUUACGUCACCGUCGCCAUGUUGGAUGACAUUGACAAAGGAUUUUGCUUGUUUGCAACACAAAUAUCAUACAACAUGGCGAAAAUUUCUUUGUCCUUUGAAUCCCAUGGGAGUGGUUGCACAUCACCUAUUAGUCAAUUACAUCGUCACCACUGGGGGAGGGGGGGGGGAGGGGUUCUUAAUAAACUACUUUCAUAAUACACUUUGAGCGUCUUAAUUUCAAAAGAAUUUGAAUAGAAAUUAAGUAUAAUUUUUAAACCUGAAUGAGGCCAAGAAAGCUUAUUAAGAUGCACAAGAAAGAAUACUUUGAAUCCAUCUGUAUUAUGAAAGUAGUCUAUUGGAUAACAGUUGAUAUAUCUCAGCUACUACUCGUCUAUAGAGCGUUUGCGCUCAUUCCCCAGGGAUCAACUCAACAAAAGCCAUGGCGGCCAUGUUGGUGUUCCAGAAAAAAGAGUCUAAUUAAAAUUCUUUUGAAUUGGAACACCAACAUGGGGCUGUGACGUCAUGUGCAAAUGCUCUAUAUAAGGUGUAUAAAGCACAAGACCUUUAGACAUCAGGCUAUUGUUGGAAUUUGAAUGCAUAGUCUUAACUAUUCGUCCAUUUUCAGCCACUUUUUCCAUUUUUCAUAAAUGGGCAAAAAACAGCAAAAAAGUAAGGCUAUAAUAGCCUUGACUUUUCGUCCAUUUUUAGCCACUUUUUCCAUUUUUCAUAAAUGGGCAAAAAACAGCAAAAAAGUAAGGCUAUCGCCUUACUUUUUUGCUGUUUUUUUCCCAUUUAUGAAAAAUGGAAAAAGUGGCUAAACUUUUUGCUUGACUUUUCGUCCAUUUUUAGCGAAUUUUGCCAUUUUUCAUAAAUGGGCAAAAAACUGGUGCAGUUAUUGUGAUGUUAUUUGUUGUGAAAGACGGCCCGAAAUUUCGCUACUUCGCUGUACUGGUUUAUAAAACAUUUACAAGCAACAGAAAUUGAACUAUAUGACAAAGAAACCAAUGUGUACAAGCCAAUCAAGUUCUUCAGUUUAAAGGUUAGUCAGUUUACUUUUUAAUAAUUAGUUCAUUUAGUUAUAUAUUAAUACGAA